rnacentral:lncRNA from 1 species
UACUGAGCGUGACCACCUCGAGCAGUCAUAAGAAAAUCUACCUUCUCGUCGAUGACUAGCUCGAUGCUGCAGUUGUGUGUCUAGUUCUUUGACCUGAGGUGCAUCGUCGGUUUACCUUGAGUAUAUUAUAGUUUGACUACACCAUAACUCGAUCUCCUAGCCAUCCGAAACCCUGAGGUGUAUGUUGGCUGUAGCAUAUUCAUUGUAGGAACCAGAUCGCAUCAAGAUGGGAUCUAUCAACCUCGGUAGAUGAG